rnacentral:lncRNA from 1 species
GAGAUACGAAAAUCAAUAAUCACCCCCAUAAGAUAUGGGGUCAUGAGUCUAGAGUCUCUAAAACAAGCUGGAUAAUAAUAUCUGAACGAAAAUACCAAAAGUCUGGAAAUAUAUAUAAUAAUAAAAGCUGGAAUAGGAAGAGUAGCCAGGUCCUGUGACCGUCAAGCAACUACCUCAACAACUCUGAACAAUCAUUGGAGAUAACAACCUGCUCAGCUAAGCCUCCGGUGCACCUGAAUCUGCACACAAGGUGCAGGGAGUAGGGGUGAGUACUGCCGACUCAGUGAGUAAUAAGGAUAUAAAAUGUCUGAAGAUAAGAAAUCCGCGAAAUGCCACAAAGCAAAGCUAAAACUAACAGUCUGACACCAUAACUACGAACUAAAAGCAAAGCAAUAUCAAGUAUGUCGGUCGGGUAUCAUGCAACAAUGCAAUGCAAUGUAAAUGAAUCCGCUGCGGCAUACAGCCCGAUCCGUUUAACAUCGACGGCGCUCACUGGGGGUGUAUACAGACUCCGGAGGGGCUCCUACAGCCCAAGAGUAAUAUCAUCAUAUCACUACUGCGGCGUGCAGCCUGAUCCAUACUCAGUCCACAAUAUGCAUAUGAGUCACAUAGCAGAUUCAAUUUACUUUUCCAGUUUGCAAUUAUUGAGAAGAAUAUAAUUUAAUUAUUUAAUUUCAGAAAGUGACUUAGCGUUUCAUAACAGUGAUUAGACGCAGGACUGAGAUCAAUGAUUAUACAAAUCAUGCUAUCAUUAUGAUAUUCAUCCUAGACGGAUGCUACAAAUCGGCACAAGGCCCCAGAUAUGGCAAUAGGCCCAAUUUUCAACAAUACUAUGUGCGUAUCAACCACCAAUUUAGCACUCGGAUGGAUCAAGUCACAAUCCUCAAUCAUAUAUAAUCCUGCACCAACCAUGGGGUGCGAGUCACGCCCUAACAUAGCGUCACAAUGUGAUAAAUCGGGGUUUCAAACACGCAGGCCAUCAUCUACACAAACUACUCACCUCUAGCUGGUCGUAAAGUGGUCCGCGAUGCCUUUUUCCUAUUGUAUCGACCUCCUCACGCGUCAAAUCUAGCCAAAAUCACAAAGAAUACAUACAUACGGGUUAAAGAAACAUAACCCAAUCGAAAAUACUCAAAAUGUACUAAAAUUUACGAAGUUGGUAGAACCCGAGCCCCGGGCCCACUUCUCGAAAAAUUACGAAAGUCACAUCAAUGGAUUCAUCGUCUCUCCACGAGUCUGUACAUAUAAAAUUUAUCAUAAACGGAGUUCGUUCACCCCCCCCCCCCCNNNNNNNNNNNNNNNNNNNNNNNNNNNNNNNNNNNNNNNNNNNNNNNNNNNNNNNNNNNNNNNNNNNNNNNNNNNNNNNNNNNNCCCCCCCCCCACACACACACACACACCCAAGACUCGCAUCUACACUCUCUGGGGUUUCAAGCCCUAACCCCCAUUUUUAGCCUUUAAAUCCUUGAAGUUUCAUGAUUAAUCAAUAUUUCUACGCCAAAAUAUCAUAUUCCGAGGCUAAUAGUCCAUACGUGAUGAAAAUCCUUCGAUUUCUCCUAAAAUCGCCAAAUUCGUCUCUUCCCGAAGUCUAAAAUGUUUCUUAACUUCUGAAAUUCGCAAACACUCUUUCAUUAAACCCUCCAGCAUUUUUCACUUCUGCGGUCCUAAAACCGCCUUUCCGGGACCGCUUCUGCGGUUUCAUUAAAUCCCUGGUCUUCCGCUUUUGCGACCCAAAAUUCCGCUUCUGCGGACCUCCCUUUUAAGCUUCUACGACUCCAUUUCUGCUUUUGCGGACCCGCUGAUGCAGUUGACCCUGCAACAACACUCAAAACUCCCCAUUUAACCAUCCGACAUCACCCCGAGGCCCUCGGGACCUCAAUCAAAAGCAUUGAUUUGCCCUAAUACCUCAUUCAAAGUUGCUCGAGUCAUAAAAACACUAUCAUAAACAUCAAAAUCAUCGAAUUAUCACUUGCAUUUGAUCUAAAACCCAACCAAACGCUGUCCAAAUCAUCUAAAAAUUUGCACGUAUACCCAAAAUUACCUAACGGAGCUACUUCAACUGUUGAAAUUUCAUUCCAAGCCCCGGAUCAAAAUCUCGCCUAUCAACCAGAAUUCGCCAAAAUUCAAACUUAGCCAAUUCAAGCCUAAUUCUUCAACAGGCCUCCAAAUUCAAUUCCGAUUGCGCUCCUAAGUCACAAAUCAUCACCCGAAGCUAGUCGAAUCAUCAGAAAUCCAUUCCGAGCCCUCUAACUCAUAAGUCAAUAUUCAGUUGACUUUUCCAAACUAACUUUCUCAUAAAGAUACUAAUUGUCUCAUUUCUAACCGAACCGUAUCUGAAUUACUUCAAAUUCUCCAAACACAUAUAAUGAAACAUAUAAAAGCAUAAAACGGAGAAAACGGGGCGGUAAAUCACAUUAUGACGGGUUGGGUCGUUACAUCCUCCCCAACUUAAACAAACGCUCGUCCUCGAGUGGGUGAAAAAACAUACCUGGAGUAUCAAACAAGUGAGGAUAUCUGCUCCACAUCUCCUGCUCAGUCUCCUAAGUGGCCUCCUCCAGAGGCCGACCUUUCCACUGCACCUUCACUUACGCUAUGUCCUUUGAUCUCAACUUUCAAACCCAACGACCCAAAAUAGCCACCGGAUCCAUAUCAUAGGUCAAGUCCUUAUCCAACUGAAUCAUGCUGAAGUCUAAUACAUGAGAGAUAUAUACCGUUUCGCCCAUCGCAUAGGAUACAUCUCGAAUCUUCUGAUCCUCAUUACUCUUUUGACGCGACUGAGCUGUACGAAGUCUCUCCUGGAUCACAUUCACAUUCUCUAAGGCCUCCUGAACUAACUCUAUCCCCGAUAAUCUAGCCUCGUCGGGCUCAAACCAACCAAUCAGAGAUCUAUACCAUAUCCCUUAUAAGGCCUCAUACGACGCCAUCUAGAUGUUGGAUUUAUAGUUGUUAUUAUAGGCAAACUCCGCAAGCGGCAAGAACUCAGCCAAAGAACCUCCAAAAUCGAUAGCACAAGCACGCAACAUGUCCUUCAAUAUCUGGAUAGUACGCUCGGAUUGCCCGUCCAUCUGAGGAUGAAAUGAUGUGCUCCGUUGUACCUGUGUGCCCAACUCCCGAUGAAAAGUCUUCCAGGACUGGGAAGUAAACACAGUACCCCUAUCUAAGACGAUGGAAAUCGGGACUCUAUACAACCGUACAAUCUCCCAAAUUAAAAUAUCUGCUAACUUCUCUGUAUAAUAGGUAGUACAUAUUGGAAUGAAGUGCGCGGGCUUGGUCAGUUUAUCCACAAUAAGCCAAAUCGAAUCAAACUUCUUCGAGGUACGAGGAAGACCACUCACAAAAUUCAUAGUAAUAUUUUUCCAUUUCCACUCCGGAAUAUCCAUCCAUUGGAGUACACCACCGGGUCUCUGGUGCUCAUAUUUGACAUUCUGACAGUUGAGACACCGAGCCACAUAAUUCACAAUAUCCUUUUUCAUUCUCCUCCCCCAGUAAUGCUAUCUCAAAUCCUGGUACAUCUUCGCAGCACAUGGAUGAAUCGAAUACCGCGAGCUGUGGACCUCAUCUAAUAUCAACUCCCGGAGACCAUCCAAAUUGGGCACGCAAAUCUGGCCCUGCAUCCGCAACACACCAUAAUCCUUAAUGGUCACAUCUAUGGAAUCAUCAUGCUGGACCCUGUCAUUCAAGACAAGCAAAUGCGGGUCAUCAUACUGGCGCUCCCUGAUGCGGUCAUACAAAGAAGAUCGGGAAACCACACUAGCCAGCAGACGGCUGGGCUCGGAAAUAUCUAACCUCACCAUCUGAUUGGCCAAGGCCUGAACAUCAACCGCAAGGGGCCUCUGAAUGUACGCCAAACUACCCAUAUUAAUAGUCUUCUGGCUCAAAGCAUCGGCCACUACAUUGGCCCUCCCAGGAUGAUUCAAAAUGGUAAUAUCAUAGUCCUUAAGUAGCGCAAGCCAUCUCCGCUGCCUCAAAUUAAGAUCUUUCAGCUUAAACUAGUGCUGAAGACUGCGAUGAUCCGUAUAUACCUCACAAGAUACGCCAUAUAGAUAGUGCCUCCAAACCUUCAAGGCAUGAACAAUAGCAGCCAGCUCUAAGUCAUGAAUAGGGUAGUUCUUCUCAUGGGGAUUUGAAUGACGAGAAGCAUAAGCAAUAACUCUACCCUCCUGCAUUAAUACACAACGGAUCCCAACUCUCGAAGCAUCACAAUAAACUGAGUAAGAAGCUGAAGCUGAUGGAAAAGCUAGUACUAGAUCUGUGGUCAAAGCCGACUUAAGCUUCUGGAAGCUCUCCUCGCAUUCAUCCGACCACACGAAUGGAGCAUUCUUCUGCGUCAACUUCGUCAAAGGCAAAGCAAUAUAUGAAAAAACCUAAACGAACCUGCAGUAAUAACCCGCCAAGUCGAGGAAACUCCGAAUCUCAAUAGCUGAGGAUGGUCUGGGCCAACUCUGCACCGCCUCAAUCUUCUUUGGGUCAACCUGCAUACCAUCACUGGACACCACGUGUCCCAGAAAAGCCACAGUACUAAGCCAGAACUUGCACUUGGAGAACUUUGCAUAAAGCUUCUCCUCCCUCAAUCUCUACAAUACCACCCUCAAGUGCUGCGCGUGCUCCUCAUGGCUACACGAGUACACCAAGAUAUCAUCAAUAAACACGAUCACAAAAGAAUCCAGAUACGUCCGAAAUACACUUUUCAUCAAGUGCAUGAACGCGUCUACGGCAUUAGUCAGCCCCAAGGACAUCGGUAGAAACUCGUAGUGGCCAUAUCUCGUUCUGAAAGCCGUCUUCAUAAUGUCCAAAUACCUAAUCUUCAGCUGGUGAUAACAUGAUCGAAGGUCAAUCUUAGAUAAUACCCUUGCUCCCUGAAGCUGAUCAACCAAAUCAUUAAUGCGGGGUAGUGGGUACUUGAUCUUUACUGUCACCUUAUUCAGUUGCCUGUAGUCAAUGCAUAUUCUCAUUGUGCCAUCCUUCUUCUUUACAAAUAAUACCGGUACACCCUAAGGUGACACACUCGGGCAAAUGAACCCCUUAUCUAAGAGUUCCUGCAGCUGUUCUUUCAACUCCUUUAGCUCCGCUAGUGCCAUACAAUAGGGAGGAAUAGAGAUGGGUUGAGUUCCCGGCACCAGAUCAAUACCGAAAUCAAUGUCACUGUCAGGCAGCAUCCCCGAAAUGAAACACAUCCGGGAAAUCCCUUACAAUGGGAGCCGAAUCAAGGCUAGGAGCCUCAGCUUCCACAUCUCUCACGAAAGCCAAAUACGGCAAACAACCCUUUCCAACCAUCCGUUGGGCUUUUAGGAAUGAAAUCACCCUGUUGGGUACAUAAUCAGUCACGCCUCGCCACUCGAUCAUCGGAAUACCCGGAAUAGCCAAUGUAACUGUCUUAGCAUGACAGUCCAGAAUAGCAUGGUACGAAGAUAGCCAAUCCAUACCCAGUCAUGUCGAAAUCCACUAUGACCAAUAAUAACAAGUCAACUCGGGUCUCCAGACCCCUAAUAGUCACCAGACACUAUCGAUAUACAUGAUCCACAAUAAUACUAUCACCCACCGGGGUGGAUACGUGCACAUGCAAGGCAAGAUAACAACGGGUCGUACCCAAAUGAUGAGAAAAAUAUGAAGAUACAUAGGAAUAGGUAGAUCCGGGAUCAAAUAAGACAGAAGCGUCCCCGUGGCAGACUUAGAUAAUACCUAUGAUGACUACAUCUGAUGCAAUAGCAUCCCUCCUAUCUGGAAGAGCAUAGAAUCGAGCCUAACCACCGCCAGUACGGUCCUAACCCUUGGGGAAACCUCUGGCUACCUGGCGUCCACCCCUAGCUGACUGAGUAGGUGCCGAAGAAACCGGAGCAGAAGACGAUGGCUGAUACCUCUACUAAGACUGUCUACUAUGGAGCCGAGGACACUAUCUCCUCAUAUGACCCAACUCACCGCACUCGUAGAAACGACCUGGAGCUGGAGGAGGGGACUGAUGGGAACCCCUCGCUGCAGAUGAACCCUGGGCUGAAGAAGCAGGAGCAGUGCUCUGAGUUGGAAGGGCACUCAAUGCUGGCUGGAAGCAAAUCUAAAACUAACAGUCCGACACUUUAACUACGAAGUAACAGCAAAGCAAUAUCAAGUAUGAUAUCAAGUAUGUCAGUCAGGUAUUAUGCAAAGAUGAAAUGCAAUUCACAUGAAUCCGCUGCGGUGUGCAUCUCGAUCCGUUUAACGUCGACGGCGCUCACUGGGGGUGUGUACAGAUUCCGAAGGGGCUCCUACAGCCCAAGCGCAACAUCAUCAUAUCACUACUGUGGCGUGCAGCAUGAUCCAUACUCAGUCCACAAUAUGCAUAUGAGUCACAUAGCAGAUUCAAUUUAUUUUUCCACUUACAAUUAUUGAGAAGAAUAUAAUUUAAUUAUUUAAUUUCAAGAAAAGUGACUUAGCAUUUCAUAACAGUGAUUAGACACAGGACUGAGAUAAAUGAUAAUACAAAUUAUGUUAUCACUAUGAUAUUCAUCCUAGACGGAUGCUACAAAUUGGCACAAGGCCCCACAUAUGGCAAUAAGCUCACUUUUCAACAAUACAAUGUGCGUAUUAGCUGCCAAUAAAUUAUGUUUAGCACUCGGGAUGGACCAAUUCACAAUACCUAAUCAUAUACAAUCCCGCAUCUGCCAUUGGGUGCGAGUAACACCCUAACAUAGUGUCACAAUGUGAUAAACCGGGGUUUCAAACCCUCGGGCUAUCAUCUAUACAAACUACUCACCUCUAGCUGGCCGUAGACUAGUCCGCAAUGCCCUUUCCUAUUGUAUCGACCUCCUCGCGCGUUGAAUCUAGCCAAAAUCACAACGAAUACAUCAAUAUGGGUUAAAGAAACAUAACCCAAUAAAUAAUACUCGAAAAAUACUAAAAUUUAUGGAGUUGGUAAAACCCGAGCCCCGGGCCCACUUCUCGAAAAAUUACGAAAGUCACAUCAAUGGGUUCCUUAUCUCGCCAAGAGUCUGUACAUGUAAAUUUAUCAAAAACGGAGUUCAUUUACCCCUCUAAGACUCGCAUCUAAACUCUCUUGGGUUUCAAGCCCUAACCCCUAUUUUUAGGGAAGAUUGCAUAUGGGAGAAAGCUUAAAAAUGACACUAAUUUGGAAAAAAUAUAUUUUUUAUCUUUUUGAAAAAUGAUGGAAAAUUUAAAAUCUUUUGGAUAUUCUUUCUCUUUUUUAAUUUUUGGAAAACGAUGGAAAAAUGUAAAAAAUCGAUUAUGGGAAAAUAAUGGGAAAGUGCAAAAUCUUUUUGAAUUUUUAUUAUCAUUUUUUUUUUGAAUUUUUGGAAAAUAAUAGAAAAGUGCAAAAUCUUUUGGAUUUUAUUUUUUAAUUUCAAUUAUUUUUUUUGGUUUUUAUCGAAAAAGUUGUGAAAGAAAACUAAUAAUCGGGCCCUACUUGCUUCAUUUCCCCCUUCUUUCCCAAACAUCAGUCCGCCAAAUGACCCUCUUGCCCUCAAAGAUGCAAUAUGUAUCACAAAGGGAUGAUUGAAUGUCUUUUUGGGUCGCGGGCCCAUUUUUGACAAAAUUUGGAUGGGCUUCAUACAAAGGGACACGGUACCUAGGACUGAGCCUUGCUAGGUCUAAAUGACAUGAUGCAAAUAAAAUUGACCUAAAGGUUGACCUAAGUUUGGGGUUCACUAACAAGGCAAUUCAGGGCGGCACGUGGUCGAUGGCGGCUGCUCUAGCUUUCCGCCCACUCCACGCUCCGACGCCAACCCCCAAAAGCAUGGGUGACUCACAAAAAGGCCGUGUACGCUCAAACGUACUCCGGAAGACUUGUUGUAGAAAGAAGACUCAGGGUUAUGCAGAAGAUGACAGUUAUAAAGCAGUAAACACAUAAAGCAAAAACUGUAAACACAUAAACAAGUAGCAAAUAACAAAAUAUAAAACAUAAUAAAAAUUAGGCAAAGCUAAUGAAAAAGCAUAAAAAAAACUCAACCAAAUAUUCCAAAAGCCAAUAAGAUCAAGUAUCAGCUCGAACCUGCAACUCCCCAGCAGAGUCGUCAGAUGUCACGCCCCUUUUUAAAACAAACCCUCACUUAAUCCGCUUAAAUUAAUAAAAAGAUUUAAAUAAAGCUUGAAAAGGGUUUUUAAUUUUGAAAGUGACAAAAAUGGUGUUCAAAAGGAACUAAACUCAGAGUCACCAUCUAACAUUGGAUUUCGAUGUGCCAGGCCACCGGUUCUUAAAAAAUAUUUCCCUUUUAAAACACUUGGACUCAAACCUAAGUCUGCACCAGAGAUUCGGGUAAGGGGGUCAUUUGACUCGGGGAGAAGGCGUGAGGCACUCCCCAAGUCCCGAGAAGGUCAUGGUUUCGUACUCGAUCAGGUUGACUUUUAAAACAUUCAAAUUGAGGUAAAACACAAAGAAAUAAAGUAAACACACAAGAGGCUCUAGAUCGUCCCCGCCUAAAUAAAUGAAAAGGAAAAGAAGAGAAAAGUCCUAAGCUAAGCUAUACUACGACUUCUCCACCAUGCUCACCAAGGCCUCCAACAUAUUUACAUAGUUCUUCGGGGCAUACCCCGGAUAAUAAUAUAUACAAACUUCACGAGGCAUUCCCCAGAUAAAUUUAACUACAGAAACGACCUCUCGCCUCAAAUUAACAAAAGUUCUAAAGUUUACCCGGUGUGGUUGGCCUAGACAUACCACUAGAGAAUAAUACAACGAGAUAAAUAAAUAAAUAAAUAAAUAAAUAAAUAAAAAGAACAAAAUAAAAGAAAAAGAAAAAAAAUCUAAAUCAUGCUUAAAUUCUUUUGGCUUAUUUAUCCCAAACCCCCACGAUCCAAUUCGAUAGCCAAAACAACAAAAUGCCAAUUUACUUCACAUUUUAGACCAACUCAAUUUUAGCCUAUAAAGGUUAUGUCUCCAUUUUUAUUAAAAUAACCAAUAUUACUAACUGAAAAUCAUGUGCUUGUUAGAUACAAAAGUGAAACAAAUCGAGGUAAUAGUGCACCAAUCAAAACAGAUAAUAGGAAGAUAAAUAGUAUAACAUGGGUGGAAGAGGAGUGAACCUUCAUGUAGCAAAAUUCCUUUCUGAAUAUUGAUUUAAUACAAACCUCCGCAUAAGCUCAUCUAGCAACAGUGAAACACAAAAGCAAGAUUCAGCAGUGGCCUUGUAACCGAAACUCGAGACCUAAGACCAAAAAAGCGAAGGAGACCUCAAUGGGAACCGCGAUAAAAUUCAACAACGAACUUAAAACCUUUGGAGACAGGUUUUUGCGGCUGGUUUGGAAUCAAGUUUUUGCGAAUGGUUUUAGAGGUGAUUUACAUCUUGUUUAUCGGCUCUUUCGGGGUUGUUUUAUUCUGGGUUUGGGGUUAUUUUUAUGGAGAUUUGGAGCUGUUUUGGAGUGUUUUUGAUGAGGUUUUGGAGCUGGUUAGCGGGUGGCGUUAAUGGCUGGUUGAAGAUGGCUGGAGACGGGUGGGCGACGCCUAAAAGGAUGGUCGUUGGAAGGGGCUCGCUGGCGGCGUUGGGGCUGUGAGAGGACAGCGGCGCGGAUGUUUGUGGCGUAAGGUUGCUAAAUGUUCUGGGUGGUCCAGCAAUGGAGGUGAAGGAAGGUAGCGGCACCGUCUUGGAUAGGACGGUGGCAACUGUUGUGUUUUUGUUCUCUAGGGUUUCUUGUUGUCGUAGCUUCGGGGAGAAGAAAGGUUUGUCUAGGGUUUUUCUUGUUUUCCUCGGGUAGAAGAAGAAAAGAUGGGUUUUUCUUUAGAUUAUGAAGAAAGAAGAAGAAAGGUCUUUUUGGGUU